AAUGGGAACCCCUCCCCCCCCACAAGAACAAAAAUAAUAUUGCUAAAUAAAUAAAUAAAAAAAACGACAGAAACAGACCAAGUUUCAGCCCCAGCGAAGGGCUUGCUUGACCAGCGAGCGCGAGGUCGACGCUAGGCGGACGAGCGAGCGACUUCCAGCCUCAGUCUGCGCUCUCUCGUGGUGAGGGAAGGGUGUGUCCCGUCGUCUCUCGCGGUUGCCCCUCGCAUGCGCCUUGGACUGUGGCUUUUCAGAUUAGGAAAUAAACAACGAAAAUAUAAAAAAAAUUGUAAGCCCAAGUUUAAUAAUAUUUGGAAAGGAUAAUAGAAAUAAUUGUUGGAAAAUAUUUUGCACCUGUUUUUAAAGCUACAGUCUUUUACAAGGAAAUACAAUUAAUCGCAGCAAAAGAGUAUUGUCCAUAUUACAACCGUUUUUCUUGGGUAGAAAAAACAUUGAAUAAUUCGGCAAAGUAGACGGAAAUGGCUUAACAAAUAGCGUGAUAAUGAAAAAACAAAAUGAACACGGGUUCCCGCACACUUAGUGAGAACGAGAGAACAAGGCUUUUCCUUACACGUGGAGAGAGAACAAAAGAACACACCGACCGGUAACAGCGAACCCGAGGAGCCAAUGAUGGAAGAAUCGCACAGAGGCACCAUCAGCCCUGAACAGCCGGACCGCCUAUAGUGCCGGCAGCCGAGAGCAUGAGCGAGGGCGCGCGGAGAUGGUGAGUGACCUGCAGGAGAGACAGCACCGGGGGCGGCCAUGGUGACGGUCUAAGGAAAACCAGCAGGGAUGCCCCUGGGGUUCUUCGAGAAGCACCUUCACCGACGCGCCACCGGUGGUCAUGACGCCCAAGCCUCCCGCCAGCAGGACUUCACGCCCUCGAAUUCUAGGAAAGGAUCACGGGCGUGGGUUGAGGACUGCUGUGGCGCCGAGAACGACCUCUAUGACGACCCGCCGCCCAUACCCUCGCGGCUCAGCCAUGCCACGCCCAAGCUCAACGACCUCCACCCUCAGCUCGAUCUCCCCGGCGCCAGGAAUGCCCGUCCGUCGCUCACCGGCAGCGAGGACCUCCACGAGCUUCUGCAGAGGAAUUCGCAGUCGAUGGGUGGAGUCUUGGUGUUACUCUUGGGUAUCGUCGUGUUGACAUGGACACUGGGGGCGUGUGGGGCAUCGUGGGCGUGGCUGCUAGUGUCCGUGGGCAUCACCUGGGCGGUUGUGAGAGGCAGCUUAGAGAGGGUAGCUGAGGAUGCCAGCAGAUACGUGUCUCUCCGCCUGCACCGCCGUCGGGCCCUGCAGGCAGACGAGACGUGCGAAUGGCUGAACAUCCUCCUGAAUCGGUGGUGGGUCUUCUCCUCGUCGUCCAUCUUCGCCAAAGCCAAGGCUGCCUUGGAUCCCAGGCUCCUUGAGGCCAAACCUGCUUUCCUGGAGACCAUCAGCUUGAAGCAGCUUUCUCUCGGCGACCGCACGCCCGUCAUCCGCAGCGUCCGCGCCUGGGAUGUCAGCACGCCCGGGGUGGAGGGGGUGUCCCGCCGGCCUCUGUGCCCCUCACGGCCUCCUGCAGGACUCGACCAUGCCCCCACGCACACAGUCGCGCUGCUGUGCGAUCUCGCCCUCGACUCCGACUCCUUCUCGGCCGUGCUGGCGGCCAGGAUCGGCGGCAAAGGCAUGGGCGUCGAUCUGGACGUGGCCGUGGAGAAGCUCGCCGUGCUGGGUCGCGUCAUGGUGACUGCGACGCUAGACAUGGAGGCGCCCUUCCCGCACCUCACGCGCCUGUCCCUGUCCUUCACCGAGAAGCCCCAAGUGUGGUUCAGUGUCCGGAUCCUCAAGGCUGUGCAAAUGAUGGAGGUUCCUGUACUGAAGACGUGGCUGCACUCGCUGGUGAUGGACGCCCUGGCCUCGGCGUGGGUCGACCCCGGACAGCUGGAGAUCAACAUCCACUCUAGCGAAGCUUUCGUCCCUGAACAGCGAACUGGGGACGCCCUCGCUCAGGGUGUCCUCACCGUUAUAUUAUGGACGCAGAAGGGGUCAUCAGGCCUGGCCGUGGACGAAGACAAGUGGGUCGUGGUCCUCAUAGGCGGCCAACAGCACGUGACACCCCCGCUGAACACUCCUCGCUGGCAGGAGGCGUGUAGCUUCCUGGUGGAUUCGUCCCUCAACAACCACAACCUCGUGCUCAAGGUCAAGAGUAAACGGCUUAUUACAACCACCAUAACGCAGUUCGACCUCCCGCUUAGUCAGUACAGCUUGGAUACAAGUAGAGUCGUGGAGACGGUUCUGCACAAAAAGGGCGUGAAGGUGAUGGGGGGAAGUGUGCCCCCACUCCACCUGCGGCUGCAAUACACGCCUCUCACGGCUGUCAACUUGGACGUGCCCCUCCCGCCCGCCCUCGUCGAGAACCAGGAAGGCGCCGGCGUGCUGUACAUCCUGGUCCACGGGGCUGAUAACAUCACCACCUCAGAUUACCUUCCCUCGUGUUACUGUCUCAUCUUCAGUAACCGAAAGAAGGUGAAGACGACCCACUACGUGUGCGAGUGUGGAUCCCCCCGUUGGGAGUGCGGCGUGGAGGUCCUGGUCCGUGAGGUGUCCAGCGUGACCCUCUCCUUCGCCGUGUGCUCGAUGCCGCGGGGGAGCCAGGACACCGAGCUGCUGGGGUUGACGUCCUUCUCCCUCGCUACGAUGGAGCUGCCCAUAGUUCGCCGCCAGCUGCCUCUGAGCAGAAGUCUCCCAACGCCAGGCUGUGCCGUAUCCUCUGGUCCUUCGCCUGGAACCGUGACCAUAUCCGUCGUGUUCCGUGCCGUGGCUUCCGUUGCCGGGUGCAACAUGCCCUCGGGCGAAAUGCUCUCGGACAAGUAUCCUCCCCAGGUCUCCAGGUCUCCGGUACCCCCUUGUUCAUCCCUGUCGGCGCCUCCUCAAAGACGCUCCUCCCUGCCCUCGGUCGAUGACGAUGAACUAGCGACGAAGAAGAGGAAUAACACGCACUGGAUUAGCCACGCUAAACAGCUCCUAGCAACUGGGCGGGAUGGAGACGGGGGCACUCAGGACAUCGGCGAUAUCCUAGCCUCAGGUCUUGGCCUCAUGGAGCUCACGAUCAUCAGAGCGCGAGACUUGGUGGCCAAAGACCUAAAUGGCUACAGUGACCCUUACUGCGUCGUGAAAAUCAACAGCGAGGUCAAGUACCGCACUCGGGUCAAGAAGAAGACCCUCAACCCUGAGUGGGAGGAAACCCUGAUGACGCACCUGCCGAGACACCCAGACAUCCUUGCCAUUACUUUGUGGGAUCACGAUGCUUUUGGAAGAGAUUUCCUCGGUUCUGUUGCUUUGAAGGAGUCGGACGUCCGCGACUUAUCUCACAAGGAUGCUCCGAAGUGGUGCACGCUGGAGGGAACCAAAUCUGGCCAGAUAGAAAUCAGAGUCAAGGUCAUUUCUGAUGAUUAUGAGCACCAAAUAAUACCAUCAACAACAGACACCAGUUUAACCUCUAGUACAGCAGUGGCAGAUGACAUGGAGAGAACUGAUGAAAUGAGCAGAUCAAACAGUGUCAAGGAUGAAGUUGCAGGGGCAUCAUCAGGAGAAGAUUCAGGAGUAUUGUUGCACCAGUCAUCACCAACACAUGAGACUGAGACACCAAGAUUGCCUCGAAUGGGCUCUCAGAGCGUGUCUUACGUAUCAGGGGAUCAUCCUCUUUUGUCAAACGGCCGCAGAGCAAGUGAGUCAGCUGUCCUGAUGCCCAAAAAUCACACCAGGGACGACCAAGACAGCAGCCUUAGUGGUUCCGUCACCCCAUCUACUUCCAGCCCUGUUCGUACAGUGUCAAAGUCAAGGAGAACUGGGGCUAACAUAAUUGCGAGUGCCUUAGCAAUGGCACGCAGCCAUCCUAGACCAGAAACUCCAAAUGGAGAUUCAUCCUCCUCAUCCCAUUGUCAAAGUGACAACCCUGUUACUGAAGACCAGAGCUCAGGAACGAACGGUCUUACUCCAACUUCCAAAUCGCAUGGGAAACCACUCCCUAAGAUUAGUCUCACAGAGCACAGUGAAGAUGAUUAUGGUGGCAGUAGCCCAGAACAUCACGUCAAGAGCAAGAAGUCGUCAGAUAGUGGUCUAAGGGCCAUGAGGGAGAAGCUACGUCGUCUACGAAAGUAGGGGUAACGAACAGUCUGUCACAGCGGCCAGGUGUGUUUCUCAACGUACGGGGUAUAGCAGGGCAGGUUCAGGGCCUUCACAUACCUCGCUCUGGCUUGCAACUGUUCCUGCGUGUCCGUGUGAGCGAAGAGAAAAGCGCCAGCAGCAGCAGCAGCAGUAGCAACAAAAUUACCAAGACUGUAGGUCGGUCUCGCCUGGUACCUGCCUCCCCUUCACCCACCUUUGAUUGUGAAUGGAUUAUAGAAGGUGAAGCUACCAGAA
rnacentral:misc_RNA from 1 species